rnacentral:snRNA from 1 species
ACCAUUCCUCAGCCUUCUGGCUAUGAUCAAGCAUAGUAUCUGUUCUUAUCAGUUUAAUAUCUGAUAUGUUCUCUAUCUGAGGACAAUAUGUUAAAUGGAGUUUUAGAGCAGGGAGUUGGAAUAGAAGCUCGCUCUGUCCGCUUCGCGCAUUGACCUGGUAUUGUAGCACCUCCAGGAAUGGUGUACCCCCU